rnacentral:lncRNA from 1 species
UUUUCUCCCCACCGAUGGUUAUUAAGUUUUCUCCGCAUUUCAUAUCGAAAUGUUGGUACAGGAUCAAUGCAUAUGCGCGCAAGAACAAAAAUAGGUCCCAUUUCAAAAGUGCAAAUUUUUCUUUUUGCGUCAUUUUUGCUUUUGAUCAAUUGUUGGUAUGAUGUUGUUUUCUUCUUUUGCAUUCUUCCAGGGCACUUGUUAUUGUUAUUGCAAAAUUUUAUGCUACUUCGUUUUUGUAGAUGGUAAUUUAUUGAUUAGCUUCCUAUAAUACACCCCUUUUUAAUGUGUACUGAAAACAUAAAUUUUAGUAAAUUCAUAAAUAAUUCAGCAGUGAAGCAGUAAACUGUGUAUUUACGAAAGACAAUAAAAUUUAUACUUAUAUUAACUGCAUUUUCUGCAUCUUCGUAGGUCAUGCGAAAAUAACUCUUCACCUAUUUUGUGGGAUUGAGAGAGUAUUAUUUGCUACACAAUGAGAGGAUUCCCAAUAACGCAACACUGUGCCAAUAAUUUCUUAAGAAAAUCAACAAUUUGAUCCGCAUAAGAAGAAGAACAAGUAGAAACAGAAACAAAUGGAUGACAAGCAAUUAACGAGUGCACAUAAUUCAGAUCUUAAAUGUGUUCAUAGAAAACCACUACUUAAAGCUAUUUGCUUUCGUUCUAUGUAUCUGAAUAAACAUAAUACAUAUCAUUAUUGAAUGUUAACGGAAUCUCAGGUGCUACAAUCAAAGGAGUCGUGUAAUCAGAGAAGAUAGAGAUGGAGGAGGCGAGAGAGAGAGAGGCGACGCAAUUAAAUUGAUUAGCUCCGAUUUACCUUGCGGUGAUGUACGCGUCCGACGGCGGUCACGGAGUCGCGGUUAAGAGAGCGGGGUUCAGCAAGGCGUCUCUAAAGGCGGAGGCUUGAAAAGAAAAA